UACAGAGGUCCCAAGCGUUGUUCGGAUUCAUUGGGCGUAAAGGGUGCGUAGGUGGCGCCGUAAGUCGGGUGUGAAAUCCCCGGGCUCAACCUGGGAAUUGCAUUCGAAACUGCGAGGCUAGGGUACGGAAGAGGAAGCGGAAUUUCUGGUGUAGCGGUGAAAUGCGUAGAUAUCAGAAGGAACAUCAGUGGCGAAAGCGCUUCC
rnacentral:rRNA from 1 species